rnacentral:lncRNA from 1 species
CUUAAAUGUAACAGUGUUUGAGUAAGAUGAAUCUGACACUCGUGCAUAGUGAGGACAACGAAAUGAGGGAGCCAUAGAAGAGAUGGCAGAAGAGAAAAGCAAUGGAAAAUGCAAGAGAACUAAGCAGGGAAUAAAUUCUGCCAGCAACCUGAGAGAACUUAGAAGCUCAUUCUUCUCCAGUCAACAUUCCAAAUGAGAACAAAGUCUGAUUGACACUGACUGCAGCCUUGUGGAACCGGAAGCAGAGGACCCCAGAUAAGAUAGGUUAUUCUGACAAGAGCGGCCGGUGUUGUUGGCAAAGAGAGCAGCUAGAAGAUUGUAGCAGAGGCUGGUUAGCUGUUCACCAAAUCCAUUUUCUCUUUCUCUUGAGCACACAACUUUAUAUUGUAUAUUCCAGUCUCUCUUAAAGGUGAGUAAAGCCAUAUAAUGAGUUCUGGCCAAAGGAAAAUGGAUAGAAGUGAUGUAUGUUACUUCUAGGCCUGGCACACAAGACACAUCAACAUGCAGUCCUAUAUAUUCUCUACCUCUAGGAAGUGGU